UUUUGACCUCAAAUCAGGUAGGACUACCCGCUGAACUUAAGCAUAUCAAUAAGGCGGAGGAA
rnacentral:rRNA from 1 species